AAUACAGCAGACUAUGAUGUCAACAUUAUAUAAUAAUAUGAUUGUGGUAUGUUGUCAUACAGUGUUUGUGUGAUGAAAUGUGACUUUGUCAAGUAGCCAGUGUUGUGUUUCCCCACUCUAUCUGAUUCAUUUCCAGUUUGUAGUGUUGUUGGUAGCCCAACAUUAUUGAGGACAUUAUUAUUCGGAUGGUGCAGUAAUGUUGAGAUGCCAGUAGGAGGAGCUCUAGUCUAGAACACUGGAACCUUCAGUACCACUUUGAUGCAGCUGAUGGAGGAGUGUAAAUCGAAUGUGUUUGUAGACGUCAUGCAUAUUAAUGACUUAAAGGAAGGAGAGGACAGUUUUGCAUCAGCUACUUGUGUUCUGACUACUAUAAAUAUGUAUCAACCACAGAACUGACAAUUACUAACAGUUCCCACACACUACCAGUAAGUUGACUCACUGUACAAGACCUCUCCCCUUCACUUCACUCUACUGCAGGGUGGGAGAUGCAACAAUGGUCUUGAGAACAGCAGGAAGUGUGUUGGUGGUCUUUCUCUGGUCUGUAACAGACUGCAGGGUGGAAGAUGCAACAAUGGUCUUGAGAACAGCAGGAAG